rnacentral:rRNA from 1 species
GAUGAACGCUAGCGGCAGGCUUAAUACAUGCAAGUCAAGGGGGUAGCAAUACAACCGGCGCACGGGUGAGUAACGCGUACACAACAUGCCAUAUACUGGAGUAUAGCUUUGGGAAACUGAAGGUAAUCCUCCAUAAUAUUUCGGAUAGGCAUCUAUUUGAAAUUAAAGUUUCGACGGUAUAUGAUUGGUGUGCGUUUGAUUAGCUAGUUGGUAGGUAACGGCCUACCAAGGCUACGAUCAAUAGCUGGCGUGAGAGCGCGACCAGCCACACUGGAACUGAGACACGGUCCAGGACUCCUACGGGAGGCAGCAGUAGGGAAUAUUGGAUAAUGGGCGAAAGCCUGAUCCAGCCAUGCCGCGUGAUAGAUGAAGGCCCUCUGGGUUAGUAAAUAUCUUUUAUCUGGGAAGAACACUUCUAUUCUUAGGAGCUUGACGGUACCAGAGGAAUAAGCACCGGCU